UACGAAGGGGGCUAGCGUUGUUCGGAAUUACUGGGCGUAAAGCGCGCGCAGGCGGUCUUCCAAGUCAGUGGUGAAAGCCCGGAGCUCAACUCCGGAACUGCCAUUGAAACUGUGAGACUUGAGUAUGAGAGAGGUGAGUGGAAUUCCCAGUGUAGAGGUGAAAUUCGUAGAUAUUGGGAAGAACACCGGUGGCGAGGGCGGCUCACUGGCUCAUUACUGACGCUCAGGCGCGACAGCGUGGGGAUCAAACAGG
rnacentral:rRNA from 1 species